CUGGACCUGGGGCGAGUCAGGUUCCCGGGAAAGAACCUGGGGACGCAGCUUCUGCCCCAGGUUCUGUUAACUAGGCUGACCAGCUACCAGGUCUUAACUACUUCCUGUUCCCAGAGGACUACCCAGCAACUUCCACGUCAGAACGCUGUUGGGUUGGCAAUGUGUGUACUGACCUGGAAUUGGGUUGGAUCUUUGAGUUUCUGGCCUGUUGACCUCCAGGCAGGCUGCUCAGUUUGGGAGUUAGGUGAUUUCCUAGUUGUCUAGUUCCAGCAUAUUAGAGAUGACGUUUGGUUCUAGAGCGAACGUCCUCCAUGAUGUUAUGCCAGUGAUCCACCAGGUGGCGAAGUCUCUUUUGAGAAAUUGUAUUUCCUCUUAUUGUUGAGGAAAAAACAAAACUUUUUUUACGAAACCAAGACUGUUGUUCUGUUAAGGAAUGAAAAAUGGUGAGGCCUGCUGUGUGAUGGUUGUGUUUGUGCCUUUAGGUAUCAGAUCUCCCAGAAUCGGGCCCCCCAACUCCGGCUCCAACUGCAGGGAUUGUUGGGGCCCUAAUGGAGGUUAUGCAAAAGAGGAGCAAAGCUAUCCAUUCCUCUGAUGACGAUGAGGAUGAAGACGAAGAUGAUGACUUUGAGGAUGAUGAAGAGUGGGAUGACUAGUGAAGAUGCCCCCCACCCACCUCUCCCAGCCUACCACUAACACUAAAACUCUUCCAGAACCCCACUACAUCAUGUAAUGUAAAUGUUGUUUGAGUUUCCAGUAUAUUUAUUUUUGCUUUUAAAAAAUGAUAAUUCCAGUUAAUCUGUGCAAUACCUCAUCAAUGAAGCUGUUCUGUUCAUCACACACCGUAGAGGUAAAAGCUUCUCUCCUCCUCCUGCGUCAGUAGAAAGCACUUAAUGCACCGUUAGCUCAGAGCACAGCCUGGACCUGAGCUCCAGAAGGAAACGCUGCAGGGAAGACUUGGAGGUGGGCGGAGCUUCCUGGGAAGUCAUUCUGUUACAUUUCAUUGCCUGUUUCAGAAACUUUAAAUGGACAAUAUUCCAAGCAAUUUGGCAGGAAAAUGUUUGAGUGUAUUGCUCUGAAAUGCAUAAUUAACACUUCCUAUCAUAUUUGUCCUCUAUUUAUUUUCUGUCUUUUCAUCUCCUAUUGAAGACAUGACCAUGACCAAACCUUGUGUAGAUCUUUAACUUAGAUUUUUCACAUGAUUAAAAGGUUUUGUUGUUUUUGUCUCGUUUUGCACAGUUUCUAAAAUAGUUUGUUUGGUUUCUUGUUUUGUGUGUUUGUAAUAGUAGCAUACAUACAGUAGGAUAGACAGUAGGAUACUCUGACAUUAAUGUAACAAGACAAUGUUUGAGUUACAGACACACAUGCAUGUAUAGCUGAUAUAGCAGGACUUUCUUUUCUUUUGCAACAUUCCAUUAUCCUGUCAGGAAGUUACACCAUCAUCAUACUGUUUUCAUUUCAUUUAAAGGGAACAAGUAAAAAUAUUUGUUAUUUACUCUUUUUUUUUUUUUAAGAAACUGAUUUUUAUGCAAUGCAACUGUAAAUGCCCUCCUUUUGCAAAUACUAGACAAAGCAAAUAAUGAUGAACCAAAUGUGGCAUUUUCAAGCAGCUUGUGGCUUUGGCGAUGCCUGUGAUGGUUUGUCAGAGAAACAGUGUGAAGAAGUAACCGACACUUGUUUCUCUGUCUGUCCUUUAAGUUCUUAUUGUCCUCCAGGGACCUAAUGCUGCAUCAAGAAGCCAAGUUACUGACAUAAAGCCUGUGAAAAAGGUCGGGAGGGGCCGGGACGGGUGGGGUCAGUGAGAAUAAUAAAUUGUAUACCUGAAUAAAUGUUAUUUACAUAGGUGA